CAGUCGCCACGGUAAUACGAAGGGUGCAAGCGUUACUCGGAAUUACUGGGCGUAAAGCGUGCGUAGGCGGCUUCUUAAGUCGGAUGUGAAAUCCCUGAGCUUAACUUAGGAAUUGCAUUCGAUACUGGGAAGCUAGAGUAUGGGAGAGGAUGGUAGAAUUCCAGGUGUAGCGGUGAAAUGCGUAGAGAUCUGGAGGAAUACCGAUGGCGAAGGCAGCCAUCUGGCCUAAUACUGACGCUGAGGUACGAAAGCAUGGGGAGCAAACAGGAUUAGAUACCCCAGUAGUCCCUGUCUCUUAUAA
rnacentral:rRNA from 1 species